GGUAGAGCUAAUACAUGCAAGUCGAGCGCAGCCAUUUUAACCCGAAGGCCUGCUGGCUGGAAGCUAAAAGAGCGAGCGACGGGUGAGUGAGUAACGCGUGAGCAACCUGCCCUUUAGCUAGGGAUACCACUUGGAAACAGGUGCUAAUACCAAAUAAGAAAACCGAGCGCAUGCUCAAGCUAUGAAAGGUGGCUUUCUCGCUGACGCUUGGGGACGGGCCCGCGGUGCAUUAUGUAGUUGGUAAGGUAACGGCUUACCAAGGCAAUGAUGCAUAGCCGAGUUGAGAGACUGAUCGGCCACAUUGGGACUGAGACACGGCCCAAACUCCUACGGGAGGCAGCAGAAGGGAAUCUUCCACAAUGGACGCAAGUCUGAUGGAGCAACGCCGCGUGAGUGAAGAAGGUUUUCGGAUCGUCUGCUCUGUUGUUGGUGAAGAAGGAGUGAACUGUUCUGAUUCAUAUUUGACGGUAAUCAACCAGAAAGUCACGGCUAACUACGUGCCAGCAGCCGCGGUAAUACGGGGUGGCAAGCGUUGUCCGGAUUUAUUGGGCGUAAAGCGAACGCAUGCGGAAGAACAAGUCAACUGUGAAAGCCCUCGCCUUAACCGGGCAAUUGAAACUGAAACUGUUUUUCUUGAGUGAGGAAGAGGAGAGUGGAUGUCCAUGUGUAGCGUGGGAAUGCGUAUAUAUAUGGAAGAACACCAGUGGCGAAUGUCGCUCUCUGGUCUGACACUGACGCUCAAGUUCGAAAGCAUGGGUAGCGAACAGGAUUACAUACCCUGGUAGUCCAUGCCGAAGACGAUGAGUGCUAAGUGUUGGGAGGUCUCCGCCUCUCAGUGCUGCAGCUAACGCAUUAAGCACUCCGCCUGGCGAGCACGACGGCAAGGCUCAAACUCAAAGAAAUUGACCCGGGCCCGCACAAGAGCAGGAGCAUGUAGUUUUAAUUCGCAGCAACGACGCAUAACCCUGACUAGGUCUUCGACUGCCUAGUUGCUCAGACCUAGAGAUAGCGACGUCCCGCUUGCGGAGGACACUAGAGACAGGCAUGGGUGCAUGNNCGUCGUCGAGCUCGGUGUCAUGNAGAUGUUAGGUCCAAGC
rnacentral:rRNA from 1 species